rnacentral:rRNA from 1 species
GAUGAACGCUGGCGGCGUGCCUAAUACAUGCAAGUCGAGCGAACAGAUAAGGAGCUUGCUCCUUUGACGUUAGCGGCGGACGGGUGAGUAACACGUGGAUAACCUACCUAUAAGACUGGGAUAACUUCGGGAAACCGGAGCUAAUACCGGAUAACAUAUUGAACCGCAUGGUUCAAUAGUGAAAGGCGGCUUUGCUGUCACUUAUAGAUGGAUCCGCGCCGUAUUAGCUAGUUGGUAAGGUAACGGCUUACCAAGGCAACGAUACGUAGCCGACCUGAGAGGGUGAUAGGCCACACUGGAACUGAGCCACGGUCCAGACUACUACGGGAGGCAGCAGUAGGGAAUCUUCCGCAAUGGGCGAAAGCCUGACGGAGCAACGCCGCGUGAGUGAUGAAGGUCUUCGGAUCGUAAAACUCUGUUAUCAGGGAAGAACAAAUGUGUAAGUAACUGUGCACAUCUUGACGGUACCUGAUCAGAAAGCCACGGCUAACUACGUG